rnacentral:lncRNA from 1 species
UGCCUUUAACAGCAGUGUCAGGCCAGGAGCAGGCCGUGCUGGUGCCAGCAGUACAGACACACACAGCAGUCUGUGCCACACAGACAGGGCACAAUGCAGGAUGUGAAGGAUCUUUCCUGGAAGCAUUCCAGCUCACACUCAUUUCCAGUAGCCAGGAUUACUGCAGGAGGGAGCCAGCAUAACUUGAAGGGGGAAAGACCAAUUUCCCUAGAUUAACCUGUGAAAGCAGGGAGUGCAG